UUUUGGCGGGUUAUUAAAAAUUCAAAUAUUAAUCUUGGCUAGUGUAGGGUUAUUAGCUUAGUUAAUUUAGCUAGGAAUGUAGUUAGAUCUCAACAAUAUAAAUAGAACCUUAGUCUCAGAUUUAUUCACUCAUUUUAAAAAGCCUAAAGAAUUCAAGCUCCCACUUUACUCCCUUUAUCUCGUCCUUACUAAGCUCUUUAUUUUAAACCCUGCAAAGUCAGGCUAUCAUAAAGUGUUUAAUUUCUUUCAUUUUCACCUCUCAAAUAGCACCCAUCACCAUAAUAUCUUGGUUGAGACACACAAAAUAUCACCACACAAAUAAGCUCUAUCAUAGUCACUCUCAACUCACUAGAAGCUAAAAACUCUCAACAUUGUAUCUCUCGUCCUUUAUAUACUACAAAGUUGUAGUUACCUUCUUCUAUUUAUUCACUUGGUUCCUCAAGAGUGAAAGAUACUACACUACACCACGCCACAAAUAUCCUCUCAACAUUUUUAUCAUCUCAACAUCACCAUCACCAUCACCCUUACACCGCCAUAAUAUUCUCAAGACCAUAAUUGUUUUCUCAUUUAUUCCUCCUCAAGUUUUGGAAAGCUUUAACAGUAGGUUUGGGCUCAAAGAGUUCUUCAUAGUGAAGAAUAGGAUUCCCCUUAAAAGUUACGGAUAAUCAUUGUUUCCAAGGAUCACCAUCAUUGCAAUCAAGGCUAGGACUCCACAUUCGAGAUAUAGGAGAUAUGUCUCUUAGAAUUAAGGCGUCAAACGAUACAGUACUUGCAGAAAUAAAAAACAUUCUGUCACUUAAGAUCAAAAAUAUCCGCCACGAAGAGGAUAAGAUUCUUAGAGCUCUGCGAGAGGUCAUCGCAAUUAAUGAAGAAAUUAAAAGAGUAGUAGAGGUGAGGGGAGCCUUAAUCAAAUCACGAGAAAAGUUUCUAGUGCUAAGGGCUGCUUUGUCACAUGUCCCCGAACUUCUUUACUAUAUCGAUGAAGUCUGGCACCGUGUCUCAAAUCUUGGCGACGCAA